GACGAACGCUGGCGGCGUGCUUAACACAUGCAAGUCGAACGGAAAGGCCCUGCUUUUGUGGGGUGCUCGAGUGGCGAACGGGUGAGUAACACGUGAGUAACCUGCCCUUGACUUUGGGAUAACUUCAGGAAACUGGGGCUAAUACCGGAUAGGAGCUCCUGCUGCAUGGUGGGGGUUGGAAAGUUUCGGCGGUUAGGGAUGGACUCGCGGCUUAUCAGCUUGUUGGUGGGGUAGUGGCUUACCAAGGCUUUGACGGGUAGCCGGCCUGAGAGGGUGACCGGCCAAAUUGGGACUGAGAUACGGCACAGACUCCUACGGGAGACAGCAGUGGGGAAUAUUGCAGAAGGGGCGGAAGGCUGAUGAAGCAACGCCGCGUGCGGAAUGACGGCUUUCGGGUAGUAAACCGCUUCCGGAUGAGACGAAGGGUGAGGGACGGCAAUGAGUAAAGAAGAAACCGGGAACGACG
rnacentral:rRNA from 1 species